rnacentral:lncRNA from 1 species
GUCUGAUUCUUCCCUUAAGUUACGUGUUCUGACAAUUUUCAUCAUCGGUAAGUAGACUGUUUGGUCUUUAGGCUGCUUUGUGCUUUUGCUGAGCUACUUUCUGAUAUGCUGAUUAUCCUCAUUUGCUUAUGUAGAUUUGGAAUUUGGCUCAACUCCCAAGAUUUCUCUAGAUAUGAAAAAGGCGCAUGUUGCUUUAUGUAUCUCUGCUGAGUACCGUGAAUAGUGUUGGCUGCUUAAUCUUCUUCCCCAAAAGAAAGGUGGGCUACCCCCGAGAGAGGAGAUAAAGUUGAUCAAAGAGG